GUGCCAGCAGCCGCGGUAAUACGUAGGGUGCGAGCGUUGUCCGGAUUUAUUGGGCGUAAAGAGCUCGUAGGCGGUUUGUUGCGUCGGCCGUGAAAACCUGCAGCUUAACUGUGGGCUUGCGGUCGAUACGGGCAGACUUGAGUUCGGUAGGGGAGACUGGAAUUCCUGGUGUAGCGGUGAAAUGCGCAGAUAUCAGGAGGAACACCGGUGGCGAAGGCGGGUCUCUGGGCCGUUACUGACGCUGAGGAGCGAAAGCGUGGGGAGCGAACAGGAUUAGAUACCCUGGUAGUCC
rnacentral:rRNA from 1 species